rnacentral:rRNA from 1 species
AUUGAACGCUGGCGGCAUGCCUUACACAUGCAAGUCGAACGGUAACAGGUCUUCGGAUGCUGACGAGUGGCGAACGGGUGAGUAAUACAUCGGAACGUGCCUAGUAGUGGGGGAUAACUACUCGAAAGAGUGGCUAAUACCGCAUGAGGUCUACGGAUGAAAGCAGGGAAUCGCAAGGCCUUGUGCUACGAGAGCGGCCGGUGGCAGAUUAGGUAGUUGGUGGGAUAAAAGCUUACCAAGCCGACGAUCUGUAGCUGGUCUGAGAGGACGAUCAGCCACACUGGGACUGAGACACGGCCCAGACUCCUACGGGAGGCAGCAGUGGGGGAUUUUGGACAAUGGGCGCAAGCCUGAUCCAGCAAUGCCGCGUGCAGGAUGAAGGCCUUCGGGUUGUAAACUGCUUUUGUACGGAACGAAAAGCCCUGGGUUAAUACCCUGGGGUCAUGACGGUACCGUAAGAAUAAGCACCGGCUAACUACGUGCCAGCCGCCGCUGUAAUAC